GACGAACGCUGGCGGCGUGCUUAACACAUGCAAGUCGAGCGGUAAGGCUCCUUCGGGAGUACACGAGCGGCGAACGGGUGAGUAACACGUGAGCAAUCUGCCCUUCUCUUCGGAAUAACCAUUGGAAACGAUGGCUAAUGCCGAAUACGACCCCCCUUCGCAUGUUGGGAGGUGGAAAGCUCCGGCGGAGAAGGAUGAGCUCGCGGCCUAUCAGCUUGUUGGCGGGGUAACGGCCCACCAAGGCAACGACGGGUAGCCGGCCUGAGAGGGUGACCGGCCGCACUGGGACUGAGACACGGCCCAGACUCCUACGGGAGGCAGCAGUGGGGAAUAUUGGACAAUGGGCGAAAGCCUGAUCCAGCAACGCCGCGUGAGGGAUGACGGCCUUCGGGUUGUAAACCUCUUUCAGCAGGGACGAAGCGAAAGUGACGGUACCUGCAGAAGAAGGACCGGCCAACUACGUGCCAGCCGCCGCAGUAACAC
rnacentral:rRNA from 1 species